CGGGGCGUAGCGCAGUCUGGUAGCGCGCCUGCUUUGGGAGCAGGAUGUCGGGAGUUCGAAUCUCUCCGCCCCGA
rfam:Inquilinus limosus MP06 Ilimosus_MP06_contig00075, whole genome shotgun sequence.